CUGGAGAGCCACUGAGUGAGGAGGCCACAACAGAGCCCUGAUGAACCAUCUAGGAGCACAUUGCUGAAGGCCCUACCAUCCCUUUUACGUAUUUUAUCUUAUGCACACACAGAUUUACUCUUCAAUUACAAUGUCAAUGUUGUGAUUUAUUCAUGCUGCAAUUUCAGGCCCCAGGACAAGCAUUAGGAUCACAGUGAUUACCUUACCUGGAGACCCACUCGGGAGCCCUGGAGCCUCAGGAAUAAGGGGGAGAAGACUGAAGGAGACUAGCCCGGGCAACACCAAAUCCAACUGGAAGCCACGGAGGCAAAGGCUUCGGUCUCGUGGGCACCGGUCCCACCUAGGGAUGAACUCAGCUGUGAGCCAGACCUGGGUCACCAAUGCCAAGACACUGAGGCUCUCUAUAUGGUGACCUUCUUAUGACCUUGGCCGUGUCCUGGGGGAGGAUUGCUGUUUUGCUCUUGUGACUACUCUUGGGGUCCGCUGAACUGGAACCUAAAAGCCAGGAGCUGAGAAAAGCCUGGGGGCGAGGCUUUAAAAUCGCAUUGCCAACUCUGCACUGAUGGAUAAAGGUUCACUGUCAGGCUGAUGUCCCCGGUGUUGGCUGAACAGUUUCCGCAGCACUAUGCUUUGCAUCAUUGCGCCUUAGCAGUUGAGAUGGAAAAAGACUUCUCUCUCCUGGACCAUCAAUACAAGUCUUGGCUUCCCUUUUAAGAGACCAGCUGGAGUCAUUCAUCUACUCCUAAACUAAUCAGUGUUACUAAUCACUAAUUAAUGAUUCAUGACACAUUGAUUUCUGUAUCAAUCACUGUGACAAAGAGGAUGAAACUGUAUCAACUGUCUUAAUAAAAAUAACCAGGUGUGUGUGGGAAUGGUACCACCCAAACCAGAGGGCUCCUCCCCAGUGGUGGGCUGGAUGUUUGGGAGGCAACCAUGAGGAUCACCUCUCAAAUUCUCAUUCCAUGUGUUGGGUACUACAUCGUAUAGCAUCCCCCCAAAAAUCACAUGUCUAUAAAUAUGAUCUUAUUUGGAAAUAGGGUCUUUGUACAUAUAAUCAAGUUAAAAUGAGGUUAUAAUGGAUUAGGAUGGGCCCUAACCCAAUGACUGGUGUCCUUACAAGAAGAAGGAAAUUGGAGACAGACACACAGAGAGAAUGCCAUGUGACGAUGGAGGCAGAGAUUUGAGUGAUGCAUCUACAAGCCAAGGAGCAGCAAGGACUGCCGGCAACACCAGAGGCCAGGAGAGAAGCACAGAAUGAAUUCUCCCUUGGAGCCUCCAGACUGUGAAAGGAUACAUUUUGGAUGUUUUCAGCAGUCCAGUUUGUGGUGCUUAGUUAUGGCAGCUGUCGGAAAUGAACAUGUGCUACAACCGGGAGACUGAGUCCUGCACAGGUCUGGAAACCCUCUGUUUUCCAACAUGAAAAGGAACCUAUUCUUGAUUUCUAAUAAGUAUGCAGAUUUGUCCCAUUUAUGUGCUUUGAUGGACAUUUUUAGAAUUGGGAACUGUAGAGCUGGAAGCAGAUUUGGAACCUAUUGUCCUUUAUUUCUGUGAGUCUUUUGCUCUGGAAAAAUGCAUUCAAAGAAAACAAAGAUGGAAAAUGUUGAUUGCAAUGCUCACAGGAUGGCUUCCUUUCCCUUGAAGUUGUGACAUGUUUCUGUGCCUGUGUCCAUGCAUGUGUGGUUAUGUGAAGGUGUGAGAAAGGGAGAGGUUGGC
rnacentral:lncRNA from 1 species